GCAUAUCAAUAAGCGGAGGAAAAGAAACCAACAGGGAUUGCCCUAGUAACGGCGAGUGAAGCGGCAACAGCUCAAAUUUGAAAUCUGGCUUCGGCCCGAGUUGUAAUUUGCAGAGGAAGCUUUAGGCGCGGCACCAUCUGAGUCCCCUGGAACGGGGCGCCAUAGAGGGUGAGAGCCCCGUAUAGUUGGACGCCUAGCCUGUGUAAAGCUCCUUCGACGAGUCGAGUAGUUUGGGAAUGCUGCUCAAAAUGGGAGGUAAAUUUCUUCUAAAGCUAAAUACCGGCCAGAGACCGAUAGCGCACAAGUAGAGUGAUCGAAAGAUGAAAAGCACUUUGAAAAGAGGGUUAAAUAGCACGUGAAAUUGUUGAAAGGGAAGCGCUUGUGACCAGACUUGCGCCGGGCGGAUCAUCCGGUGUUCUCACCGGUGCACUCCGCCCGGCUCAGGCCAGCAUCGGUUCUCGCGGGGGGAUAAAGGCCCUGGGAACGUAGCUCCUCCGGGAGUGUUAUAGCCCAGGGUGUAAUGCCCUCGCGGGGACCGAGGACCGCGCAUCUGCAAGGAUG
rnacentral:rRNA from 1 species